rnacentral:lncRNA from 1 species
UUUUUUUGCAUUUCAAUCUGUUCUUCUUAAUCCAAACAAACUAGUACUCCUUAGCACUGUAUUACUCAUGUCCUUAUAAAUGACUCUGAAUAAAGCAGUGUGCCAGAUGGAUGACAUUAAAGUGGAACUUGAUAGAUUAUACUUGAACCAAAGCAUGAAGCAUUUUUUGAUGUCUCACAGAUAAUCAUAAGAUGGUGUUAGCAGGUUUAAAAUAUGAAAACUAUGGAAAUCACAAAGAAUAAAUUAUCAUAAAUACUUGGUAUAAAAAAAUGACCCUUCAGUGAGAUAGAACUUUUGUUUGUUGUGCAAGGAAUAGGCACCAUGAAAGUAAAAAUAAACAAUUAUUUAUGAUUUGGGUAUAAUUUGCUUAUGUCAGGACGGACUUGGCUAAAUACUGAGAU